CUGCUCCCUCUUCGAGUGCGCACGGCGGCUCCACGGGCGAUCAUCACCGCUCUCCGCUGCAUGUUACGCACAUCUCUCCCGCUGCUGGAGAGUCAGAUCCAACUCUUCACGCUUAUGCACAGCAACGGCGAGGUUAACAUCUCACCUGCACCAUCGGAGCAUCAGAAGCUAAAUUUCCUCUACUUUUUUCCCUUUUGUUGAACAGGUUGUGCAAAAGCUUGGAUCCCUGUAGUUACCAGCAGAUAUUUUGUGUGUGUAUUCCUAAGAGGAAAAAUCCCCCCACCCCCCUCACCCCAUCUCCUCUGCUUAGCUCCAGGUUACGUCACGACUUCUCCAAAUAAUUUCCUCCAGCUAUAACGCAAGAAGAUCGCGCAUUUGGAGCGUUUCCUCCUAUAGGGACUCAAAGUGAGGGUAGCAUUGUUUUGCACGUUCAUUGUUAAAAACAAACAGUUUUUCUGUCUAAAGGUGAUAUUCUUCACUUUAUUCAGGGAUGAUGCAGACACGGAAGGGGGGAAAUAUGACUUUGAUGAACUCAGACUGAGACUCUUUUAACACAAGUUACACACGUGGGAUCAAAACAGAUCCACAAACAACGUGGGUUUCUUUGAGAACUGUUCACAGAUAUUACAGUGCAAAUUAGUGUUUUGUUUGUUUUAAAUAAAGAUCUGAAAUGUG